GGCCUGGUAGUCUAAUGGUUAAGAUGCUUCAGACAGCUCUCUAACUUGUAUAGAACUCUUUAAAGAGACCUGGGUUCAAAUCUCAGCUAGGCCA
rfam:Gymnopus luxurians FD-317 M1 unplaced genomic scaffold GYMLTscaffold_89, whole genome shotgun sequence.